CGGUUGAUCCUGCCGGAGGUUACUGCUAUCGGUGUUCGACUAAGCCAUGCCAGUUAAAUGUUCUUUGUGAACAUAGCGGACUGCUCAGUAACACGUGGACAAUCUGCCCUUGGGUUCAGCAUAACCCCGGGAAACUGGGGAUAAUUCUGAAUAGAUCACAUAUGCUGGAAUGCCUUGUGAUUUAAAGAUCCGUCGCCCAAGGAUGGGUCUGCGGCCUAUCAGGUUGUAGUGGGUCUAGAGUACCUACUAGCCGACGACGGGUACGGGUUGUGAGAGCAAGAGCCCGGAGAUGGAUUCUGAGACAUUAAUCCAGGCCCUACGGGGCGCAGCAGGCGCGAAACCUUUACACUGCGGGAAACCGCGAUAAGGGGACACCGAGUGCCAGCAUACAAUGCUGGCUGUCCACAUGUGUAAAUAGCAUGUGAUAGCAAGGGCCGGGCAAGACCGGUGCCAGCCGCCGCGGUAACACCGGCGGCCCGAGUGGUAAUCACUAUUAUUGGGUCUAAAGGGUCCGUAGCCGGUUUAAUCAGUCUUCCGGGAAAUCUGACAGCUUAACUGUUAGGCUUCCGGGGGAUACUGUUAGACUUGGGACCGGGAGAGGUAAGAGGUACUACAGGGGUAGGAGUGAAAUCUUGUAAUCCCUGUGGGACCACCAGUGGCGAAGGCGUCUUACCAGAACGGGUCCGACGGUGAGGGACGAAAGCUGGGGGCACGAACCGGAUUAGAUACCCGGGUAGUCCCAGCCGUAAACGAUGCUCGCUAGGUGUCUGGAAUGGUGCGACCGUUUCAGGUGCCGCAGGGAAGCCGUGAAGCGAGCCACCUGGGAAGUACGGCCGCAAGGCUGA
rnacentral:rRNA from 1 species